rnacentral:lncRNA from 1 species
CUGGAAGCUACAAUCCUCAGGAUUCCAUUCAGAUUCCACAAAUGAGGGCAUUCUGGCCCAAGGUGGCAGGCCGAACUCAAUGAGAAACCACUAUGCUCUGGAGGCAGCUGCAGGUGGAUAAGUGAGGAUCAGUCAUGUUAGACAUGGGAUUUCUGCCUGUGACUUUGGGGUGUCCUCCUGAAAAAUACCCACUUUGUGAUGCACAUGGCUGGGAUCAUUGGCAGUGUCAUGUCCUGGAUUUUCUGAAAGUAACCAACCUGACUUUUGCUUCCCUAGCCUUCCAACGUUUGUGGAAUCUUCCAGUCCCCUAUAUUAAUCUUCUUUCUUCUCAGAAAUACCUAGAUUUGCUUUUGAUUUUGUGAUAUAACCCUGACUGAUACAGAAAGAAGCUCAUGGACUUCUGGGGGAAAAGGGGAUCAGAAGGUCAAAGUGAUGUCUGUCUACAGCCUGGCCCCAGAAAUCCCUAACUGACACUGAUAGAGAAAAACUACUGAUCUUCAGGCAGAACCUGAAGGCCCAGCUUUUUUCACUCAAGGUUUCUGGGUUAUUGGAACAGUUACUUUGCAUAAGCAGGUGACCAGAUAAUGGGGGAGGGGGCAUUUCUCCACAUCCCAUGGAACCCCUGGAUUCAGCUCACUGAGUGUCUUAGAAACACAGCAAAGAUAUGAGUGGCCUUUGGAGAUGGGGGUACUGGUACCCAGAGAAAGCCCCAGCAGUGCCCUGGGAGUCUAAUACAGAAGAUCCAGCCAUGUCCAGUAAGCAUGAGCCAGAGAAGGGGAUGAGAAUAAAACUGAUGUUGGACACCAACUGACAAAGCACUCUGCAAGGUUUAUUCCUAAGCAUUUGUGAGAAAUACUUGGAUACACAACAAAAUAACUUGUGAAGGGAAAAGGUGUUCUUGCCAUGAUCUGGCCUUACCCACAUUGGGAAACGUGUGAAUUUCAGACCAAAGACCAACCUUCCUCUGUCGCACAGACGAGUGCAGUGGCCUGAUCUCAGCUCACUGCAGCCUCUGCCUCCUGGAUUCAAGCGAUUCUCCUCCCUCAUUCUCCCAAGUAGCUGGGAUUACAGGAGAUGAAAGAUGCCCUCCCUAUACCAGAAGGAAAGUAUCAUUCUCAUCAAGGACAGAAAAUUAAGGCCAAGGAAAAUCUGUACAAAUAAACCUUGUUACACCAACCCUUACCUCUCUAGUCACUUCUCCACCUAAUUAAUUACUCUAACCCAAGCCCCUUUGCUGUCACAUUUUCACAACUUACUUCACUUUGUCAGAUUCUUCACAUAAGCAUUCCAUUCUUUGUCUUCGGGUCUUCAUUUCCUACUCCUGUGCCACGUAAAACUUCCAUUCAAUAAAUUUAUAUGCUUUUCUCCUGU